rnacentral:rRNA from 1 species
CCUACGGGAGGCAGCAGUGGGGAAUAUUGCACAAUGGGGGAAACCCUGAUGCAGCAACGCCGCGUGAGUGAAGAAGUAUUUCGGUAUGUAAAGCUCUAUCAGCAGGGAAGAGAAUGACGGUACCUGACUAAGAAGCCCCGGCUAACUACGUGCCAGCAGCCGCGGUAAUACGUAGGGGGCAAGCGUUAUCCGGAUUUACUGGGUGUAAAGGGAGCGUAGACGGCUGGACAAGUCUGAAGUGAAAGCCCGGGGCUUAACCCCGGAACGGCUUUGGAAACUGGCCGGCUGGAGUGCAGGAGAGGCAGGCGGAAUUCCUGGUGUAGCGGUGAAAUGCGUAGAUAUCAGGAGGAACACCGGUGGCGAAGGCGGCCUGCUGGACUGUAACUGACGUUGAGGCUCGAAAGCGUGGGGAGCAAACAGGAUUAGAUACCCCAGUAGUC